CUCCUUCCUCUUUGCCAUUUUUGGUACCACAGGAAAAGGUCUAGAAAAGACUUCUAACAGCUCACACUCCUUAAGGGACUCAGAAGAAGAGAAAUGGGAGUCUCGCCAUCUUGCCCAGGCUCAUUUCAAACUCCUGAGCACAAGCGAUCCUUCAUCUUGGCGUCCUGAACUGCUGGGAUUAAAGGCACAGUGGCUCAUAUCUGUACGACCAGCUACUUGGAAGAUUGAGGAGGGAGUAUCCCUUGAGUCCAGGAGUUCCGAUCAGAUUGAGCAAUAUAAAGAGACCCCGUCACAAAACAAAAUAAACAAGAAAAAAUUUAAUUUGUAUUUAUGGGGUGAUGGAAAAAUUCUAUAAAGAGAAAAUUCCACCUCCUCUACUGUUAGUGGUGAAGCUCACAUAAGAAAGGUCAAAAGAACUCAAGAGCCAAUUUGAGGACAUUCUGAUUAGCUAAAGUAUGACAAUCUGAGCAUCAGUAAGAUCAUCAAUUACAAACCAUUUUGAAAAAUCGUAUUGCUAGUGAUAAUCUUGGUAUUGCUAUUCUGAGAUAGUUGAGUUUGCAUUGUGAAAUAAAGCAAAUAUGUAUUUAUUUGAUAAUCUGAUUCUGUCAUUCUUGGUGUAAAUAAGAAAGGGGAUUCGUGGCAUGGAAAAAAUGAAAUAAAGUUAUAAGUUGAACGUGUUAAAUAAAAUUAUAACACCUGAUAUGGCAUGAUUUCAAAAUGUCCACAAAAAUUCAUAUUAGCAUAUAUUUAUGUUCCUGAAUAUCAGUAUGCACUCAUGACUCAGUCUGUGCACUAAAAUUCCUAAAAACAAUCACUAAUCCAAGCGAAAUUAGCAACCCUAAUGCCCAGAUGGUCGUCUGUCAACACCACUUUUCACUUAAAGGAUGCAGUAAGCCUCCUCAGAAAAACAGUCGUUCCCCCAGAACGACAAACUGCCUUUAAGAGUCAUUUCUU
rnacentral:lncRNA from 1 species